GAUCAUGGCUCAGGAUGAACGCUGACAGAAUGCUUAACACAUGCAAGUCUACUUGAACUUCGGUUUGGGUGGCGGACGGGUGAGUAACGCGUAAAGAACUUGCCUCACAGUUAGGGACAACAUUUGGAAACGAAUGCUAAUACCUGAUAUUAUGAUUUUAGGGCAUCCUAAGAUUAUGAAAGCUAUAUGUGCUGUGAGAGAGCUUUGUCGUCCCACUUAGCUAGUUGGAGAAGGG
rnacentral:rRNA from 1 species